AGGGUACUGAGGACAGCUGUUCUCAUCGGGCUGGGGCCUGGGCAGGAAGAAAGCCUUUGCUCUGGAUUCCUGUUCCUACAUUGGGCUGGCUGGCUCCUAUGGGCUGGCGUCCCAUAGGAGACGCCUAGGGCAAGAGGCAGCAUGAAGAAGGACUUGGGGUUCCCUCUGGUGCCACAAGUGGGUUCUUAGCUAACCAGCUGGCCACCAACCCAACACAGCCCAGACCCUGGACUCAGAUCACUAAGAGUCAUCCUGGAGAGUCAUCUAAUUGUCCUUGGCUCCCCAAGCGCCUCCCAGUUCCCACCUGUCAUUCUGCCAAUAGGGUGGGUGGAGGUGUGUAGCGGGGAUGGUCUUAGGGUCAUUGCAUCACCGCUAUAGCCUCAGACCCUUGCAGGUGAAAAUCGCUCAAUUGCUUGUUACUAGGGAACAGGGUAAUUGAGACAAGGGGAGGAACCUUCCUAAGCACAUGGACAUCCCACUGAGGACAUUGCCUGAGCGACUGCUGGCCUGAGGCCGAGGGCCAGGGCAAGUUCAAGAGAGGAAGGGUCUGGUGCCUGGUGAUACGUGCGAGCCCUCUCUCAGGCCCCCCCACCCCCACCCGGGUUUGUUUUUCUGAUAUUCAACAGAAAACUGUCAGGAGGACGACGUCCUAACACA